UACGUAGGUGGCAAGCGUUGUCCGGAUUUACUGGGCGUAAAGGAUGCGUAGGUGGAUAUUUAAGUGGGAUGUGAAAUACCCGGGCUUAACUUGGGUGCUGCAUUCCAAACUGGAUAUCUAGAGUGCGGGAGAGGAGAGUGGAAUUCCUAGUGUAGCGGUGAAAUGCGUAGAGAUUAGGAAGAACACCAGUGGCGAAGGCGACUCUCUGGACCGUAACUGACACUGAGGCAUGAAAGCGUGGGGAGCAAACAGG
rnacentral:rRNA from 1 species